rnacentral:rRNA from 1 species
AACGCUAGCUACAGGCUUAACACAUGCAAGUCGCGGGGCAGCAUAAUGGUAGCUUGCUACUGUUGAUGGCGACCGGCGCACGGGUGAGUAACGCGUAUCCAACCUGGCCUUUACCACGGGAUAGCCCGGCGAAAGUCGGAUUAAUACCGUAUGUGCUCCGAAGAGGACAUCUGAUUGGAGUAAAGGUUCAGCGGUAAAGGAUGGGGAUGCGUCUGAUUGGCUAGUUGGCGGGGUAACGGCCCACCAAGGCGACGAUCAGUAGGGGUUCUGAGAGGAAGGUCCCCCACAUUGGAACUGAGACACGGUCCAAACUCCUACGGGAGGCAGCAGUGAGGAAUAUUGGUCAAUGGGCGAGAGCCUGAACCAGCCAAGUAGCGUGCAGGACGACGGCCCUAUGGGUUGUAAACUGCUUUUAUGCGUGGAUAAUGUGCGGGACGUGUCCCGUAUUGCAGGUAGCGCAUGAAUAAGGACCGGCUAAUUCCGUGCCAGCAGCCGCGGUAAUACGGAAGGUCCGGGCGUUAUCCGGAUUUAUUGGGUUUAAAGGGAGCGUAGGCUGAUUGUUAAGCGUGUUGUGAAAUGCGGGUGCUCAACAUCUGGAUUGCAGCGCGAACUGGCGGUCUUGAGUCAGCUGGAAGCAGGCGGAAUUUGUGGUGUAGCGGUGAAAUGCUUAGAUAUCACGAAGAACUCCGAUUGCGAAGGCAGCUUGCUGUGGCUUGACUGACGCUGAAGCUCGAAAGCGCGGGUAUCGAACAGGAUUAGAUACCCUGGUAGUCCGCGCGGUAAACGAUGGAUGCCCGCUG